GAACCGAUAGCCGGUACGCCUAGCCUCCCAGACGUGUACGGAUGUCGUAGAGGUAGAGGAUGCCGGACGCCGUCUUAGGGAUGGCCAGCGGUCGGACGCAGGACUUCAGGGACACUCCCAAGCAACCCUACACGAGUUAGGGAAGACCGCAUGAGCCG